UGUGAGCCAGGUUGGUUUCUAUCUUUUAAAAUUUAAAAUAUUUUAGUACGAAAGGAUCAAAUAUUUUAAUUAAAUUAUUAAAAAUUUAUUUGAAUUUUAUUAAAUUUUAUUUAAAAAUAUUUAUAAAAAGUUGUUUAAUUUUAUUUAAAAAAAUAAAAUUAAUAAA
rnacentral:rRNA from 1 species